GAUUCUCAUGAUAUCUUUAUUUGAUCAAACCCCUUGUGGAGCUGCGUUUUUUUCUUGGAUUGUAACUCCUCCUUACCUCCCCAAUUUUGGAUUUUGGCAAGAACUAUCUUUGCCACGCAUCAUCGCACAAAGAAUUAAAAGCUACAACUUGGUGGUGCAUAACUAGUUGUGGCUGUUUCUGUUGUCUUUUUUACCACGACAUGCGUUGACGGGGUCUUAUUUGCAGCGGGCGUGGCCUCCAAGUGAAUCACUUGUGCAGCGGGCGUGGCCUCCAAGGGAAUUACUUGUGGCCGUUGUUGACCUUUGGAAUGAGCAUUGAUGGCACUAUGGAUGAAAUCAAGGUGGUUUUGCAAUUCCUAGCAUCUAGGAUAAAAUUCGUUGAUGCAAAAUGGAAUAUUGCUGAGUUUGUCAAUCAAUUUAAACAAAUU
rnacentral:misc_RNA from 1 species